GUUAUAUCUUUCAUCAAUAUUUGUAGUAUUUCAAGUAGCGGUUGUUUUUUUUAGCUCACCUGGCCUGGAAACUAUAAACAGCAAUAAUCAUGAUAAUGUUCAGCAAAGUAAAUUCAACAAAUAAGCCAACAUGACCAAAACUGUCAAUAGAUCACUUAUCCCUUAAGUACAUUGCAAUGUUAUAAUUUUUUGUUUCCACUCUAUAUAUUGUCUCCCCUCUAUAUUUAUUGUCAAAUUUAAUCAACUAGUCAACUUCAUCGUAUGUUGUGUUUUUUUCUGACGG
rnacentral:lncRNA from 1 species